GUGCCAGCCGCCGCGGUAAUACGUAGGGGGCGAUCGUUGUCCGGAAUUACUGGGCGUAAAGGGCGCGUAGGCGGUUAAUUAAGUCGGAUGUGAAAGCCCGCGGCUUAACCGCGGAAUGGCAUUCGAAACUGGAGGGCUUGAGUGUCGGAGAGGGUAGUGGAAUUCCCAGUGUAGCGGUGAAAUGCGUAGAUAUUGGGAGGAACACCAGUGGCGAAGGCGACUACCUGGACGACAACUGACGCUGAGGCACGAAAGCUAGGGGAGCAAACAGGAUUAGAUACCCUGGUAGUCCUAGCCGUAAACGAUGGGUACUAGGUGUAGGUGGUUUCGAUACCAUCUGUGCCGCAGUUAACGCAAUAAGUACCCCGCCUGGGGAGUACGUGCGCAAGGUUGAAACUUAAAUAAAUUGACGG
rnacentral:rRNA from 1 species